CUGGAAACGGAGGACAAAUCCCGAUGUACAGGAAGGAGGCAUCUUCUUUCUGUGAAACAUCCUUUCGGGGAUGGGGCGCGGAUGGACCUGCGGUGCAUUAGUUGGUUGGCGGGGUAAAGGCCCACCAAGACGAUGAUGCAUAGCCGGCCUGAGAGGGCGGACGGCCACAUUGGGACUGAGACACGGCCCAGACUCCUGCGGGAGGCAGCAGUAGGGAAUUUUCGUCAAUGGGCGCAAGCCUGAACGAGCGAUGCCGCGUGAGUGAAGAAGGCCUUCGGGUCGUAAAGCUCUGUUGCGGGGGAAAAAAGGCAGCAUCAGGAAAUGGGUGCUGACUGAUGGUGCCCCGCCAGAAAGUCACGGCUAACUACGUGCCAGCAGCCGCGGUAAUACGUAGGUGGCGAGCGUUAUCCGGAAUGAUUGGGCGUAAAGGGUGCGCAGGCGGUCCUGCAAGUCUGGAGUGAAACGCAUGAGCUCAACUCAUGCAUGGCUUUGGAAACUGGAGGACUGGAGAGCAGGAGAGGGCGGUGGAACUCCAUGUGUAGCGGUAAAAUGCGUAGAUAUAUGGAAGAACACCAGUGGCGAAGGCGGCCGCCUGGCCUGUUGCUGACGCUGAGGCACGAAAGCGUGGGGAGCAAAUAGGAUUAGAUACCCUAGUAGUCCACGCCGUAAACGAUGAGGACCAAGUGUUGGGG
rnacentral:rRNA from 1 species